rnacentral:rRNA from 1 species
GAGACACGGCCCAGAUUCCUACGGGAGGCAGCAGUGGGGAAUAUUGCACAAUGGGCGAAAGCCUGAUGCAGCAACGCCGCCUGAGGGAUGACGGCCUUCGGGUUGUAAACCUCUUUUAGUAGGGAAGAAGCGAAAGUGACGGUACCUGCAGAAAAAGCACGGGCUAACUACGUGCCAGCAGCCGCGGUAAUACGUAGGGUGCAAGCGUUGUCCGGAAUUAUUGGGCGUAAAGAGCUCGUAGGCGGUUUGUCGCGUCUGCUGUGAAAUCUGGGGGCUCAACCCCCAGCCUGCAGUGGGUACGGGCAGACUAGAGUGCGGUAGGGGAGAUUGGAAUUCCUGGUGUAGCGGUGGAAUGCGCAGAUAUCAGGAGGAACACCGAUGGCGAAGGCAGAUCUCUGGGCCGUAACUGACGCUGAGGAGCGAAAGCAUGGGGAGCGAACAGGAUUAGAUACCCUGGUAGUCCAUGCCGUAAACGUUGGGAACUAGAUGUGGGGGCCAUUCCACGGUCUCCGUGUCGCAGCUAACGCAUUAAGUUCCCCGCCUGGGGAGUACGGCCGCAAGGCUAAAACUCAAAGGAAUUGACGGGGGCCCGCACAAGCGGCGGAGCAUGCGGAUUAAUUCGAUGCAACGCGAAGAACCUUACCAAGGCUUGACAUAUACCGGAAACGUCCAGAGAUGGUCGCCCCGCAAGGUCGGUAUACAGGUGGUGCAUGGUUGUCGUCAGCUCGUGUCGUGAGAUGUUGGGUUAAGUCCCGCAACGAGCGCAACCCUCGUUCUAUGUUGCCAGCACGUUAUGGUGGGAACUCAUAGGAGACUGCCGGGGUCAACUCGGAGGAAGGUGGGGAUGACGUCAAAUCAUCAUGCCCCUUAUGUCUUGGGCUUCACGCAUGCUACAAUGGCCGGUACAAAGGGCUGCGAUACCGUAAGGUGGAGCGAAUCCCAAAAAGCCGGUCUCAGUUCGGAUUGAGGUCUGCAACUCGACCUCAUGAAGUCGGAGUCGCUAGUAAUCGCAGAUCAGCAACGCUGCGGUGAAUACGUUCCCGGGCCUUGUACACACCGCCCGUCAAGUCAUGAAAGUCGGUAACACCCGAAGCCAGUGGCCUAACCCUUGUGGAUGGAGCGUCG